GACGUAGGGGGCAAACGUUAUCCGGAAUUAUUGGGCGUAAAGGGUGCGUAGAUGGUAUGAUAAGUUAUUGGUGGUAAAUCGAGGCUCAACCUCGUGGAAGCUGGUAAUACUGUCAUACUUGAGUGCAGAAGAGGUUAACGGAACUCCCUGUGGAACGGUAAAAUGUGAAGAUAUAGGGAAGAACACCAAUAACGGCGAAGGCAGUUAACUAUUCUGCUACUGACAUUGAGGCACGAAAGCGUGGGGAGCAAAACGG
rnacentral:rRNA from 1 species